GGAAAGUGUAUGCAAGGAAUGUCGUCGGUAACUUCCCAGAAGAGAUUUGGAGCUUGACUUUCCUCGUUAUCUUGAAUUUGGGGCUAAACCACUUGACAGGUUCUAUUCCACCAAAAAUAAGUAACCUAACUAGCUUGCAGUACUUAUUUCUGAAUGCCAAUGCAUUCUCAGGGGAACUUCCUAAGGAACUUGGAAAGCUUACUGAAUUGAGAGCGCUGUCAUUUGCUGAGAACAACUUUUUGGCCCUUUACCAUCCACAUUGGGUAACUUGUCCAAAUUAGAACAACUGUAUGUUUCAAUAAGCUCUUUAUGUUUUUCCCUCACUAUUUAUUCUUUUUUUUUCCACUAUAUGAUUAAAACAUGUGUGAUACCUUAAAAUAAACAUUAGCAAUACUAUAAAUUAAAACAUACAUGUGUGAUACAUUAAAAUAAACUUUAGCAAUACUAUAAAUUAAAACAUACAUGUUUCUUCUCAUACUCAUGGACAUUGGGUCUUUAUGUUUCUUUCUUAUUAGGGUAAAUCACAUGUUUAGUCACUUAACUUUAGGCAAAUUUUAUUUUGGUAACUCAAGUAUAAAAAGCUUAUGAUUCGAUCACUAACAUUUAUGAUAUUGUCUUUUUUGGUCAUCCAACUGUUAAUCUCUAAGGCAAGCUAACAUGGCAAUGUCAUAAUAUCCGUGAGACAUCAUAUGAGUUUGCCAUGUAAUCUAAUAUUACCACAUAAUUUG